AAACCCUAGAAAGAGUUUAGCGCUGUUUCUGUUUUAGAGAAAAAAGAAUGGGGAGGAAGAGAAAGCACAGCGAGGCGGAAGCGGCGGCUCCGGUUAAGGACGAUUCUGCUCCGGAGAGACCUAAAAGAACUCUGUUAGGUUGGAAAGAUAAGAAAGAAGAUGUGGAGGAAGCUAAGGAAGCGUCUGCUCCGUCUGCGCCUGGUUUCAGGAAUAAAGAGAAGGUUCUCGUUACUUGUUCCCGUCGGAUUAGUUUCAGGUGAAGCGAGUUGAGAUUUGAGUUUGAGUUUAAUUUCCUUUGAUGGUGUAGAAUAAUAAUAAAGUAUCUGUUUUUUGUUUGUUUGUGAAGGUAUCGGCAUCUGAUGUUGAACAUAGUUUCACUUCUGCCUCAUUGUAAGAAGGAUAGUAAGGUUGAAGCUAAGAGCAGUAAAGGCGCGACUCUUAAUGAGCUUGUUGAGCUUAAGGGCUCUUCUUCCUGCUUGUUCUUCGAGGUAAAGUUUCCAUCUUUUGUUGGUACCUACUUGGUCUGAUAUUAAGAGGCUUUUAUAAUCAAGUUUGAUACAUAGAAGAUGGAACAAAUAUUGUACUGAUGAUAUUCCUUUGUCACGCUACUCUUAAUGUCUGGUUUUGCUUGUAAUUGUAUGAAGUAGUAAGCUGUCAAAAUCUUGAUUUUUCCAAGAAACUGAAGUUGUUAUGCGUUUAUUUUGUUAUGGACUUCAGUGUAGGAAGCAUAAAGAUCUUUACAUGUGGAUGGUCAAGUCCCCUAGUGGACCUUCUGUUAAGUUCUUGGUUAAUGCUGGUAACUUCUCCAACCCACCUUGUACAUUGUUUCAGAAUUAGCUGGUGGAGCUUAUAUGUCUUUGUUCGUCUCUCAUGUUUCAAUAAUUUUCUAUAUGGUGAAGUUCACACAAUGGAGGAGCUGAAACUCACAGGAAACCAUCUGAAAGGGUCACGCCCUCUCUUGACGUUCUCGUCCAAUUUUGAUAAAGAUGUACACUGGAAACUCUUGAAAGAGAUGUUAACACAGGUCAUUCUCCCAUUUUCACUCCCUUAUGUUCCUUGUUAGCUUAGUUUGUACCUCAUGCUAAAUAGUUUUCUCUUCCUAUCUCUUGCAGGUAUUUGGAAUCCCCAAGGAACACAGAAAGUCUAAACCUUACCAUGACCAUGUUUUUGCCUUCUCCAUUGUCGAUGACCAUAUCUGGUUCCGUAAUUACCAGGUUGGUUGCAUCUCAGAGAUCAACAGUUGCUGUUACACUUUGAUUCAGUGUGGUUUUUAACUUAGUCAAUGUCUGUUUUUAUCUUCUGUUUCAGAUAUCUGUACCUCAUAAUGAGGCAGACAAGGUUGCGCGAGGUGGUCUUGAUAAAAUGACUCUUGUCGAGGUCUGGCUUUACCUAUUAGUAACAAUAAUUUGCGUAGUUGUGAUUCGUUAGUGUUGAUUGAAAUGAAAAUCUGAUGACAGGUUGGUCCAAGGUUUUGUUUAAACCCGAUUAAGAUCUUUGGAGGAAGCUUUGGAGGUCCAACCCUUUACGAGAACCCAUUCUACGUAUCUCCAAACCAGGUACUGUGUUCUCUCUUCAGCUUGGUCAUAACGAGAAGUUGAUUCACAUAUGAUUUUCUAUGUCAAAGGCUUAUUUUUUUCAAUUUUUUUCAUCAGAUCCGAGCCUUGGAGAAAAGGAAUAAAGCAGGCAAGUUUGCAAAGAAGAUCAAAGCAAAAAGGAGGAAAAAGAUGCAUGAGAUUUCAAACCCACUGGAGCCUGAUGAGUUUGCAGACAUGUGGAAGGAUGAUGAAUGAUCAAGUUCCAUCAAGUUUUUCUUGUUGUAAACUUCUAAAUUCACACAACCAUUACAUUUUUUUUUGUCCUUUUUACUGUUCUCGACUCUGUUUUUAUCUCUCCCUCUUAUGGAUCAAAAGUUGAUAUUUUUCUUGCAAAUUAGUGUGUUUAAACAAGUAAAGAGUCCAACUAAAUCUCUUUGCAAAAAUUGUAGCAAAAGUAUAAGCAAUCAGCACCCAAAAUUCACAGAAACAAUACAUCUUCAUGUCUUCAGUCUUCACUGUUCCUUUGGUUCUUUCUCUCUUAUGUUAUCAUCAAAAGUUGAAUUUUUGCAAGAUGCCAAAGCAAUUUAGUUUCUUUAUUCAUAAUGCAUCAAGAGUCAAAUUCACAGAAUCAUCAAACACAUUCUUAUGGCUCAAAAGCUUAAAUCUUUUUGUUUGUUUCUUUUAUCUAUUUUUCUUGCAAACUGACAAGUUCAUCUGCACCUCUUUGCAAUGUAAGAUGCAAUUUAGUUUCUUUAUUGAUAUAGCAUCAAAGAUCUCUAAUUACAUAAAACAAAGUAAAAAGAAAAUGCAACAAGACAGGUGAUCCCUUGCGGUUAGAAGGAAGUUCUGAUUGUGUGUUAGUGGAUGAGGAAGUGGAAGUGUGUACUAUUAAGAAUCUAGACAACGGGAAACAGUUUGUGGUGAACGAGAUUCAAGAAGAGGGUAGUACAUGGAAACAGGUGAAGGAAGUGGGGACCGACACGCAGAUGACAAUGGAGGAGUUUGAGAUGUCUGUGGGACACUCUCCCAUUGUUCAGGAGCUUAUGAGAAGACAGAACGUGGAGGAUUCUGAUAACAACAACAACGCAUCAACCAAAACAACAAAGGAUGAUGAAGAGAGUAAAGAUAAUAAUAAUAAUAACACAUCAAAGUCUAAGAAGAAAGGAAGCUGGUUCAAGAGCAUAAAGAGCGUUGUGACUGGUUACAGCAAAGAGAGACGAAGCAGUGACGAUAAAGACACGUCAUCGGAGAGAGGCGGUCGGAGGUCGAGCUCAGCUACGGAUGACUCUCAGGAAUCUUCUUUCCACGGGCCGGAGAGAGUUAGGGUCAGACAGUACGGGAAGUCUUCCAAAGAGCUCACGGCGAUGUACAAGACGCAGGAGAUUCAAGCGCAUAACGGCUCUAUCUGGAGCAUUAAGUUUAGUUUGGAUGGUAAGUAUCUCGCUAGCGCCGGCGAGGACUGCGUCAUUCAUGUUUGGCAAGUGGUUGAGGCUGAGAAGAGAGGAGAGUUGUUGCUGGAUAGACCGGAGCUGUUGCUUUUGGCUAAUAGUAAUGGAUCUCCGGAACCGACUACUAUGUCGCCGAGGAGAAGAGGGAGGAGUUCUGUGAGUAGAAAGUCGUUGAGUUUGGAGAACAUAUAUGUUCCAGAUUCUGUUUUUGGGCUCUCGGACAAACCCUUUUGCUCCUUUCAUGGUCAUCUGGAUGAUGUUCUUGAUCUUGCUUGGUCCAAGUCUCAGGAUUUGCUGUCUGCAUCGAUGGAUAAGACAGUUCGUUUGUGGAGCUUGUCUACACACACUUGCUUGAAAGUAUUCUCUCACAGUGAUUAUGGUUAGUAGCUAAUAUUAAUUUAAUCUGUUUCUUUCUGUGCUUAUCUAAAUAAUAAUUUGCUCUAUUGAUUGGGACAGUGACUUGCAUUCAAUUUAAUCCGGUUGAUGAUAGAUACUUCAUCAGCGGUUCGUUAGAUGCAAAAGUUCGCGUGUGGAGCAUUCCGGAUCGGCAAGUAGUUGACUGGUAUGAUCUUCACGAGAUGGUCACUUCUGCUUGCUACACUCCAGACGGUCAGGUAAACUAAAUCUGCCAUGUCAUUAUUAUCUGAAGUCAGUAUCUUUUUGGCUUUAAACAGUUUUCUAAUUUUCUAAAGAAUGUGUUGAAACUUGAAGGGUGCGUUGGUUGGUUCAUACAAAGGUAGCUGUCGUCUUUACAGUGCAUCAGGUAAAUGAAUGAAGUUUGUUAAUGUGAUUUUGAUUUUUUACCGUUUCCUAAUGCGUUAACAUUAAGUGACGUGUUGUUUUAUUUUUCCCCAGAUAACAAGCUGCAACAGAAAAGCCAGAUAAAUUUACAGAACAAGAAGAAGAAAGCUCAUCAGAAAAAGAUAACUGGUUUCCAGGUAAUGAGAGAAUCUCACUUCUUCAGGAGCAAAAUCUGAGGGGCUUUGUUCAUGAGACGGCACUAAAAGUUGCUUGCUUGUGUCUCAUUUCAUCCCAUAGUUUGUGCCUGGAAGCUCAUCUGAAGUGCUAGUCACAUCUUCGGACUCUCGGAUCCGCGUUGUUGAUGGAACUGAUCUAGUUACCAAACUCAAAGGUAAAACAAAAACAAACAAAGUUUCAAGCUUUGUCUUCUGUUUACUUCAUUCGCAAGCAAAAGUAAUCAAUCGUUUUUUUCACUAUUUGACAGGGUUUCGAAACACGAGCAGCCAAAUCUCCGCCUCAAUAACAGCAGACGGCAAAUACGUAGUGUCAGCGAGCGAGGAUUCAAACGUGUACAUAUGGAAGUACGAAUCCCCUGCUUCUCGACCAAGCAAGAGCAACAGCAGCAGCAACAAGAACGUCACAGUCACAAACUCGUACGAGCAUUUCCACAGCCAAGACGUCUCCGCAGCCAUCUCAUGGCCCGGGAUGGCCUCAACAGAGUCUUGGGGAGCCACCCAAAACAGAGCCAACAACUUAGACGAAGUCUCCACAGCUAACCAUCCACCCACACCUGUGGACCAGCCAGGGACAACAACUCUGGACCGACUCAACAGUCCACGUAACGGGAUCAUUUCGAGCGCCACAAACGGAUACUUCUUCGAUAGAAUGUCAGCGACUUGGCCUGAGGAGAAGCUGAUGUUUGGGAGGAACAGAAGUGGGAACCGUCUGAGUACGGAUUUGUCUAACUCAGGGAACGUGUCGGCUUCUUGGGGGAUGGUGAUAGUCACUGCAGGUUUGAGAGGAGAGAUUAGAGCGUUUCAGAACUUUGGUUUGCCCAUAAGGAUUUGAUAUUAUAAAGAAAAAAAAAAGAUAAAAAAGUGUACAGAGUGGUAAAGAAAAAAAAAAUCGAGUGAGGUUUGUAAUAUUACUUAGCGAGCUUUUUUUUUCUUCAUUCGAUUUUUUUUUAAAACUGAUUUGUUACACACAGGGUAUACUGAUCUUUUGUAGAGUUUACAGACACGAACAGCUGGUUUUUUUUUGUAGUCAGACCUCAGGCCCAUUAAAAAGUUAGGCCCAUAUUGUAUUAACGAAACGUUGUCGUUUUGGUGAUCGUGAAGUGAGUUAAAGGCAGCUUUGUCUUUUAGGUUUUGACUUGUCCUAAAACCCUAGAAAGAGUUUAGCGCUGUUUCUGUUUUAGAGAAAAAAGAAUGGGGAGGAAGAGAAAGCACAGCGAGGCGGAAGCGGCGGCUCCGGUUAAGGACGAUUCUGCUCCGGAGAGACCUAAAAGAACUCUGUUAGGUUGGAAAGAUAAGAAAGAAGAUGUGGAGGAAGCUAAGGAAGCGUCUGCUCCGUCUGCGCCUGGUUUCAGGAAUAAAGAGAAGGUUCUCGUUACUUGUUCCCGUCGG
rnacentral:lncRNA from 1 species